GACGAACGCUGGCGGCGUGCUUAACACAUGCAAGUCGUACGACAGCAUUUCCUUUUAGGUUGUGUUUGGAGUGGCGAACGGGUGAGUAACACGUGAGUGACCUGCCCUUCACUUUGGGAUAACGUGCGGAAACGUGCGCUAAUACCAAAUAUUCGCAUUUCUGCUGCAUGGUGGGUGUGGAAAGGGGCCUUCGGUUCGUGGUGGGGGAGUGGGCUCGCGGCCUAUCAGCGUGUUGGUGGGGUGAUGGCCUACCAAGGCGUGGACGGGUAGCCGGCCUGAGAGGGCGACCGGCCACACUGGGACUGAGACACGGCCCAGACUCCUACGGGAGGCAGCAGUGGGGAAUUGUUCGCAAUGGGCGCAAGCCUGACGACGCAACGCCGCGUGGAGGAUGAAGAUUUCGGAUCGUAAACUCCUGUCGAGCGGGACGAACAGCUCGCUGGUGAAU
rnacentral:rRNA from 1 species